rnacentral:rRNA from 1 species
GAUGAACGCUGGCGGCGUGCCUAAUACAUGCAAGUCGAGCGAAGCGGGGACGGGUGAGUAACACGUGGAUAACCUCCUAUAAGACUGGGAUAACUUCGGGAAACCGGAGCUAAACCGGAUACUUAUCGAUGCAUCCGCGCUGCAUUAGCUAGUUGGUAAGGUCACGUCUUACCAAGGCAACGAUGCAUAGCCGACCUGAGAGGGUGAUCGGCCAACCUGGAAAUGGUACACGGGCCACACUCCUACGGGAGGCAGCAGUAGGGAAUCGUCCGCAAUGGGCGAAAGCCUGACGGAGCAACGCGGCGUGAGUGAUGAAGGUCUGCGGAUCGUAAAACGCUGUUAUUAGGGAAGCGGUACCUAAUCAGAAAGCCACGGCUAACUACGUGCCAGCAGCCGCGGUAAUAC